rnacentral:rRNA from 1 species
GACGAACGCUGGCGGCGUGCUUAACACAUGCAAGUCGAACGGAAAGGCCCUGCUUUUGUGGGGUGCUCGAGUGGCGAACGGGUGAGUAACACGUGAGUAACCUGCCCUUGACUUUGGGAUAACUUCAGGAAACUGGGGCUAAUACCGGAUAGGAGCUCCUGCUGCAUGGUGGGGGUUGGAAAGUUUCGGCGGUUGGGGAUGGACUCGCGGCUUAUCAGCUUGUUGGUGGGGUAGUGGCUUACCAAGGCUUUGACGGGUAGCCGGCCUGAGAGGGUGACCGGCCACAUUGGGACUGAGAUACGGCCCAGACUCCUACGGGAGGCAGCAGUGGGGAAUAUUGCACAAUGGGCGGAAGCCUGAUGCAGCAACGCCGCGUGCGGGAUGACGGCCUUCGGGUUGUAAACCGCUUUCGCCUGUGACGAAGCGUGAGUGACGGUAAUGGGUAAAGAAGCACCGGCUAACUACGUGCCAGCAGCCGCGGUGAUACGUAGGGUGCGAGCGUUGUCCGGAUUUAUUGGGCGUAAAGGGCUCGUAGGUGGUUGAUCGCGUCGGAAGUGUAAUCUUGGGGCUUAACCCUGAGCGUGCUUUCGAUACGGGUUGACUUGAGGAAGGUAGGGGAGAAUGGAAUUCCUGGUGGAGCGGUGGAAUGCGCAGAUAUCAGGAGGAACACCAGUGGCGAAGGCGGUUCUCUGGGCCUUUCCUGACGCUGAGGAGCGAAAGCGUGGGGAGCGAACAGGCUUAGAUACCCUGGUAGUCCACGCUGUAAACGGUGGGUACUAGGUGUGGGGUCCAUUCCACGGGUUCCGUGCCGUAGCUAACGCUUUAAGUACCCCGCCUGGGGAGUACGGCCGCAAGGCUAAAACUCAAAGGAAUUGACGGGGCCCCGCACAAGCGGCGGAGCAUGCGGAUUAAUUCGAUGCAACGCGUAGAACCUUACCUGGGUUUGACAUGGAUCGGGAGCGCUCAGAGAUGGGUGUGCCUCUUUUGGGGUCGGUUCACAGGUGGUGCAUGGCUGCCGUCAGCUCGUGUCGUGAGAUGUUGGGUUAAGUCCCGCAACGAGCGCAACCCUUGUUCACUGUUGCCAGCACGUUAUGGUGGGGACUCAGUGGAGACCGCCGGGGUCAACUCGGAGGAAGGUGGGGAUGACGUCAAGUCAUCAUGCCCCUUAUGUCCAGGGCUUCACGCAUGCUACAAUGGCUGGUACAGAGAGUGGCGAGCCUGUGAGGGUGAGCGAAUCUCGGAAAGCCGGUCUCAGUUCGGAUUGGGGUCUGCAACUCGACCUCAUGAAGUCGGAGUCGCUAGUAAUCGCAGAUCAGCAACGCUGCGGUGAGUACGUUCCCGGGGCU